rnacentral:rRNA from 1 species
UACGUAGGGUGCGAGCGUUGUCCGGAAUUAUUGGGCGUAAAGAGCUCGUAGGCGGUCUGUCGCGUCUGCUGUGAAAACUCGGGGCUUAACCCCGGGCCUGCAGUGGGUACGGGCAGACUAGAGUACGGAAGAGGCGAGUGGAAUUCCUGGUGUAGCGGUGAAAUGCGCAGAUAUCGGGAGGAACACCAGUAGCGAAGGCGACACUCUGGGCCUUGCCUGACGCUGAGGCGCGAAAGCUAGGGGAGCGAACAGG